rnacentral:rRNA from 1 species
GAUGAACGCUGGCGGCGUGCUUAACACAUGCAAGUCGAACGAGCCUUCGGGCUAGUGGCGGACGGGUGAGUAACGCGUGGGAAUCUGCCCUCAGGAGGGGGAUAACGGCCGGAAACGGGCGCUAAUACCCCAUAUGCCGAGAGGUGAAAUGAAUUUCGCCUGAGGAUGAGCCCGCGUCUGAUUAGCUAGUUGGUGGGGUAAUGGCCCACCAAGGCGACGAUCAGUAGCUGGUCUGAGAGGAUGAUCAGCCACACUGGGACUGAGACACGGCCCAGACUCCUACGGGAGGCAGCAGUGGGGAAUUUUCCGCAAUGGGCGAAAGCCUGACGGAGCAACGCCGCGUGAGGGAUGAAGGCCUCUGGGCUGUAAACCUCUUUUCUCAAGGAAGAAGACAUGACGGUACUUGAGGAAUAAGCCACGGCUAAUUCCGUGCCAGCAGCCGCGGUAAUACGGGAGUGGCAAGCGUUAUCCGGAAUUAUUGGGCGUAAAGCGUCCGCAGGCGGCCUUGUAAGUCUGUCGUUAAAGCGUGGAGCUUAACUCCAUUUCAGCGAUGGAAACUACAAGGCUUGAGUGUGGUAGGGGCAGAGGGAAUUCCCGGUGUAGCGGUGAAAUGCGUAGAUAUCGGGAAGAACACCAGUGGCGAAGGCGCUCUGCUGGGCCAUAACUGACGCUCAUGGACGAAAGCCAGGGGAGCGAAAGGGAUUAGAUACCCCUGUAGUCCUGGCCGUAAACGAUGAACACUAGGUGUCGGGGGAAUCGACCCCCUCGGUGUCGUAGCUAACGCGUUAAGUGUUCCGCCUGGGGAGUACGCACGCAAGUGUGAAACUCAAAGGAAUUGACGGGGGCCCGCACAAGCGGUGGAGUAUGUGGUUUAAUUCGAUGCAACGCGAAGAACCUUACCAGGGUUUGACAUCCUGCGAAUCCCUUGGAAAGCGAGGGAGUGCCUUCGGGAGCGCAGAGACAGGUGGUGCAUGGCUGUCGUCAGCUCGUGUCGUGAGAUGUUGGGUUAAGUCCCGCAACGAGCGCAACCCACGUCUUUAGUUGCCAGCAUUCAGUUGGGCACUCUAGAGAGACCGCCGGUGAUAAACCGGAGGAAGGUGUGGAUGACGUCAAGUCAUCAUGCCCCUUACAUCCUGGGCUACACACGUACUACAAUGCUACGGACAAAGGGUUGCAAGCUCGCGAGAGUUAGCUAAUCCCAUAAACCGUGGCUCAGUUCAGAUCGUAGGCUGCAACUCGCCUACGUGAAGGAGGAAUCGCUAGUAAUCGCAGGUCAGCAUACUGCGGUGAAUACGUUCCCGGGCCUUGUACACACCGCCCGUCACACCAUGGAAGUUGGCCAUGCCCGAAGUCGUUACUCCAACCCUUGUGGAGGAGGACGCCGAAGGUGGGGCUGAUGACUGGGGUGAAGUCGUAACAAGGUAGCCGUACCGGAAGGUGCGGCUGGAUCACCUCCU